rnacentral:rRNA from 1 species
GGGGAGGGGGGAGCCUGACCGAGCACGCCGCGUGAGUGAUGCGGUCUUCGGAUUGUAAAGCUCUGUUAUAUGGGACGAACGUCUCGGAGGCUAUCCCGGAUGCGGUCCUUACAGAAAGAUAAGCACUAUAUGUCCGUGCCCGCGGCCAUAGUAAUAG